AUUGAGCAGCCUCGUCUUCAUGCAAAUAAUGUUAGACAUACACAUUACAAGGAUGAUGAGACUUUGGUCAAUAAUUAUCAUGGACAACCUUCUUUGGCUAAACCAAAGUUCUCUAUUCCACAAUUUCAUGGAAAGAAUAACCUAGAGGCUUAUUGUGAUGGGAAAGUUGGGAAUAAAUUAGGAUGUCAAUUCAAGAGGAGAUGGCCAAACGAAAGGAGGAGUAUAAUAUGAUCUCUCACAUGUUAUGAAAUGUUAGUGAUGUAGUUCAAAAGAUCAUAAGGAUUUUUGAUGCCCAAUUCAAUAUCCAACCAGAGAAGAAAGAAUUUGUUGAUCCUUUGAGAGGAGCUCAAUUAGUCCAUUCCACCUAUGAUAAAGAUUCUUUCUUUCAGGAAUUUGUUGAUCCUUUGAGAGGAGCUCAAUUAGUCCAUUCCACCUAUGAUAAAGAUUCUUUCUUGUACGUUCAACCAAAUACAAGAUUCAAGGACAAAUCUUUUCGAGGAAAGGAGGAAUGAUGCAUGCAUGGAUAAGUGAAAUUUAUUAAAUUCUAUUCAUUGAAGUUGUCGAUUUUCAAGUUUAGGAAGUUAGUCAACUUGCAACAACUUUUUGGAUGGGAUCCAAACAUUUCUGGGUUGAGAUGUCUUCAUAGUGUUCGAAUAUCUACCCCUUAGCUUUGAAACUAAUUUUGAAUCACUCAAUUUCAUAGUGUUCGAAUAUGAGUUUAUUAUGGAAAUUAUGAGUUUUAAGCUUUUAA